rnacentral:rRNA from 1 species
UGCAAGUUGUGCGUCCUGAGCAAUGUUCGGGGCGCAGCGUACGGCUCAGUAACACGUGGCUAACCUACCCUUAGGACCGGAAUAACCCCGGGAAACUGGGACUAAUUCCGGAUAAGUGAGGAGGCCUGGAAUGGUUUCUCACUAAAAGGGCGUUAGGAGCAUGCUUCCUUUCGUUGCCUAAGGAUGGGGCCGCGGCCGAUCAGGUUGUUGGUGAGGUAAAGGCUCACCAAGCCUAUAACCGGUACGGGCCAUGAGAGUGGGAGCCCGGAGAUGGGCACUGAGACAAGGGCCCAGGCCCUACGGGGCGCAGCAGUUGCGAAAACUCCGCAAUGCGCGAAAGCGUGACGGGGUUAACCCGAGUGCUAUCCGCUGAGGAUAGCUUUUUUCUGGUGUAAUGAGUCAGACGAAUAAGGGGAGGGCAAGACUGGUGUCAGCCGCCGCGGUAAUACCAGCUCCCCGAGUGGUAGGGACGAUUAUUGGGCUUAAAGCGUCCGUAGCUGGCUUGACAAGUCUUUCGUUAAAUCCAGCGACCUAAUCGUUGGGCUGCGAAAGAUACUAUCUAGCUUGGGGGCGGAAGAGGUCGACGGUACUCUCGGGGUAGGGGUGAAAUCCUAUAAUCCUGAGAAGACCACCAGUGGCGAAGGCGGUCGGCUAGAACGCGCUCGACGGUGAUGGACGAAAGCUGGGGUAGCAAACCGGAUUAGAUACCCGGGUAGUCCCAGCCGUAAACGAUGCGGGCUAGGUGU